UCCGACAUAGCUCAGUUGGUAGAGCGCUUGACUGUUAAUCAAGAUGUCGACGGUUUGAGCCCGCCUGUCGGAG
rnacentral:tRNA from 1 species